CCGGCUCGCGGGAGCCGGACCUGUGCCUCCGGCAUGUCGCGCGGCGGCACAGCGUAUCCAUGUUGCUCAAUGGAGGAUGUGGCUAUGCAAA
rnacentral:sRNA from 1 species